rnacentral:lncRNA from 1 species
CAAAACUCAAAAGUAAUCUGUCUUUUCAAAGUCAAUGGAAACCAUUUUGAAAUUGGCAGUGUUUUAUAUUGGAUAGGAAAUUCCAAAACUAUUUCAGUAUUACAUAUUUCUUCCAUUCAUUUUACUUGUAUUCAUCAAGCCUUAGAAACAGUUUGCAGAAAUGCAAGGUAAGACUGUGUAUAAUAUACUCUUAUGGUGGAUCCCUUCUCCGAACCCUGAGCAUAGCGGGAGUUUUAG